UUCAGAGACAUAUCCCUGUAAUGCUUAUGGGGGAGGUGUUGCUGUAUAUAUUCAGAGACAUAUCCCUGUAAGGCUUAUGGGGGAGGUGUUGCUGUAUAUUUUCAGAUCCAUAUCCCUGUAAUGCUUAUGGGGGAGGUGCUGUAUAUUUUCAGAUCCAUAUCCCUGUAAUGCUUAUGGGGGAGGUGCUGUAUAUUUUCAGAGACAUAUCCCUGUAAUGCUUAGAGAAGAUGUCAAGUGAUAUUGAAGUGUUGUGGUUGCAGGUUCACUUGACACAUCUAGAGCCUUUUCUUUUGGGGUGUUUCUAUAGGCCACUAAGUGCUAACCAAGUAUAUAAAUAAUAUGUGUGAAAUGCUUGAUAGUGUAUGUGAUGUAAACAAAGAGGUCUACUUUCUUGGGGACCUGAAUAUUGACUGUUUUCCAUGAAGCUGUCCCUUCAAGAGGAAGCUUUUCACUGUAACCAGUGCCUGUAAUCUGGUUCAGGUUAUUAAUCGUUCUACCAGGGUGUUUACAAACACUACAGGAACAAGAUUAUCCACAUACACUACUGUUCAAAAGUUUGGGGUCACGUAGAAAUGUCCUUGUUUUUGAAAGAAAACCACAUUUUUUGUCCAUUAAAAUAACAUCAAAUUGAUC
ensembl:lncRNA